UAGAUUUCUGAAAAUAAUUACAUAACGCCUCCUAGCUAUCAUAUCACUUAUUAGGCUAUUUCUAAAAUAAGACACUUACAUUGACGAAAAAGAGCUGUUUUCAACAAGACCAAGUAUGCAAAAUUAGAUUUAACAGAACUGGACUUACUGCUAUUUUGUCAUAAGAAGGUUCCCACUCACCCCCACCUCUUAUUUGCAUAUGUAGACUUAAACUUGUGAAAUCAAAUAUGCGCAGAAUUUUAUGAAGAAUUAGAUGAUGGACUUUCCAGUGCCUCUUCAUUAAGCAAACUUUGUAAAAUUUUGCGGUGGACCUACGUCCUCUAGCGCUGGACUUACAAUUAUGAAAAUAAUUUCCAGGCUUUUCCCGGGGCAACUUUUGUUAUAAAUAUUUUUUUCUCAAAGCUGUACUAUAAACGAUUGCUGAGAUAUGGCCGAGUGCCAUUUUUAUUAGGACACCCGGUACAUAUUGAUGUACAAUUUACAAAUAUGUAAUAUUACUAUCCAAGCUUCAAAAUCGCCUAUAUUUUGUUGAGUGACUAUUUUAUAUUGUUCAAUCUCAUGUAUCCGACUUUUAAAUAAAUUAAUGGUUUAGUUAGGAAAACAGAAUAAUGCUAUUACCUAUUUGUGGAUCAUGCUGUAUAUGAACGUACACCGUAGCUCUUUACUUAGAUUAAACUGUGAAAUAAAAUCUAGAAUUUUUGCAAUAUUAAUACAAUCCUCCGGAACGAGAACUUUAUUACACUACUUUAAAUCUAUUUGGUGUCCUAGCCCUCUUAUCGUUAGAUAUACUUCGAUGUAAUAAACGAACCAAUACAAGCAAUAAUAAACUUUGUAAGCCUUUAAUACUAUGAGACCCUAGUCGAUUUGGACUGUUUCGAGUCGAAGUAAUCACCAAAAUAUACUUCAAGUUAUAAGUGUCAAUUCAAUUUGAAAAAAUCUUUCAUCUUAAUUGUAAUUAUGAAUUUCUUGCAUCAUUUCGAAGAUGAUGCAUAAAAAGUGAGAUUUGAGUAGUCAAAUACAUUUCAUAUAAGUAGUUAUUCUACGAAUAUAAAACUGUUGUAGCAUAGAUUAAUAAUUCGAAAAAUAUGUGGUGUUCCGCAUUUAUGUAUGUUAAUAUCGAAUUGAUAAAGUUUGUUUCCAUAAAGAUUGCUAAAAACACUCUCUAAUACUUACUCAUAGUUGAAAGCGACAGUUUUAGUUUUAGAAAAGCUCAAAUAACGGCGAAUAUAACCGAAUUAAAUAAUAUACGAAGGCUAUUUGUAAAAUAAGGUUACGUAUGCCUCUGAGAAAGAGUGUGACGUUCUGGGAGAAAUCUGGCAACACUUACUUACGCAUCAACUCUCCCUCUCUCUUACCACAUCAGUUUCGCCUCGCUGCAUUGCUCAGUGUCGACCUAGCAGACUUCGAAGAUAGAGAUCCCGGAUGUGAAACUCAUGCUGUGAUCUUUUUUUAAAUGCAAAAUGGAUUUUGCAUCGAAAAGUUAAUCGAAGUUUUUGGGUAAAAGUACAUAUUAUCUGUUCAACAUAUUCGCAAAUGGUGUCCAUGACGAUCGGAGCGGAAGGCCUUCAGAUUAAUCGUGAAUUUCCGUUCGGCCUUCACUAAAUUCCAUUUGCGAACAUUUUGAUGGAACAACGGCGACUAGCGAAAAACAACGAAACACUUUAUAACAGCAUACAAAAAGAAAUUCGACGUAAAAUACGAGAAGCAAAGAGUCAACAUCUAGCCAAACAGUGUCAUGACAUUGAAGAACUUGAAAACAGAUACGACACGUUUAACAUGUAUAAAAAAAAGAAAGAAGCGGCUGGUAUCUUCAAUAAGAAACAAACCGCAUUGCUACAGGAUGAACAUGGUAAAGUAAUAUUUGAAGUAGAGGACAAACUUUAAAGAAUGGGAAAAUUACGUUACGAACCUAUUCAAAGACCAUAGGAGUAGUUCACCUCCCGAUAUUACUAACUGCGACGGACCCCUAACAACACGCUCUGAGGUAAUAAAAGACAUACAAUCAUCAAAAGAUGGCAGAGCGACUGGUCCUGAUGAAAUUCCAACUGAAAUAUACAAGCUUAUAAAUGCUCGCAAUGUUUUAGAGGCUAUAACUUCGUUUUUCAAUACCAUUUAUACCAGCGGACAACUACCUAAUGGUUGGUCUAAUUCAGUGCUUAUAGUUCUACCUAAGAAGACAACAGCAAAAACCUGUGCUGAUUAUAGAACCAUCAGUUUGUUAAACCAUUUAUUGAAAAUUUUUCUGAAAGUAAUACAUGGUCGUAUCUACAAUAAAUGCGAGGAAUACCUGGAUGACACACAGUUUGGUUUCCGUAACAGGUUUGGAAAGAAAGAGGCACUGUUUGGAAUGAACGUACUUGAUCAAAGAUGUCGAGAUAUAUCUAUAGACAUAUACUGUUGUUUUAUUGACUUCCAAAAGGCAUUUGAUCGUGUUAAGCACUCUAUAUUGAUCGAAGCUCUAAAAGACAUUGGCUUGGACGGCAGAGAUGUUCGAAUAUGUAAUUGCAAAUUUAUAUUGGAAUCAAACAUCAGUUUUAGUAGAUGGUGUGGAAUCACAGGCUCUUAAUAUUAAAAGAGGAGUACGGCAGGGAUGCCUCUUGGCACCCCUGCUUUUCAACGUUUACUCCGAAAGAAUUUUCAGAAAAACAGUUUCUGAAAAACAAGAAGGAGUACUUGUGAACGAUGAAGUCAUCAAUAAUUUGCGAUAUGCGGACGCUACAGUACUCCUAGAUUCUAUUCAAGAAGAUCUCCUAACGCAAACACUACUUGAUAGUGUCGUUGAGAGUUGUAGGGAGGCAGGUCUGGAUUUGAACAUACGGAAAACCAAAAUACUCGUAAUAAGUAAACAACAGCAUAUAAAACCGUCUAUAUAAUAUGUAAAUAAUAGCAAACUUGAGCAAGUUGAUAAAAUCGUUUACCUUGGAUAGCAAUUAAAUUGUAACGCAGAAAGUCACGGCGAAAUUAGAUCCAGGAUAGAGCAGGCUAGAACCGCUUUUAGAAGGAUGUCCAAGGUGUUAUGUAACAGAGACCUAAAAUUGGCACUGAGGAUCCGCCUACUUCGCUGCUACGUGUCCUCGGUCUUACUUUAUGGUGUCGAGUCCUGGACUGUGAAUAAAAUCGAUCUAAAUCGCCUUGAGACUUUCGAAAUGUGGUGCUAUAGAAGAAUUUUAAAAGUUUUCUGGGUGGAGAAGAUUCGAAACUCCACAAUACUAGAACGUCUCAGCAAGACUACUGAAAUCAUAAAAAUAUAGGUUGCUACAAAAUAUUAUGCAAGGAAAAAUAGCAGGCAAACGCAGUCCAGGACGAAGAAGAACCUCAUGGUUGAAGAACUUGCGAGAUUGGUAUGGUGUUGAUACAAGCAUGCUAUUUAGGGUGGCAGUGAAUAAAAUUAAGAUAGCUAUGAUGGUAACCAACUUUCUGAAGGGACAUGGUACAUGAAGAAGAAGAAGAACAUUUUGAACAGAUAUGCACUUUUACUCAGAAACUUCGAUUAAAUAACGAUGAAUGCCAAUAGGUGAAAUCCAUUUUGCAUUAAAAAACGUAUCACAGCAUGAAUUUCACAUUGGCGGUAACAGCAACCUUAACCUUCAUCUUCUAAGACUGCUAGGCCGACACUGAGCUGAGCAAUGCAGCAAGGCAAAAGUGAUAAGGUAAGAGAGGGGGAGAGUUGAUGUGUAAGACAGUGUUGCCAGAUUUUUUCCAGUACGUCGCACUAUUUCUCAGAAGCAAUAUUUUACGAAUGACCCUAGUAUAUUCAUAGCGUCUCGUAUAUGUCAUUUAAUUUAAAGAACAGAAAUCGCCUUACUAUAAUAAAUAUAUUGUAUUUUAUUUCCCCUUCUACUUGUCUAGUAGGUAAUUUGUCAGUGAAUUGGUAUGCCUUUUUAUGGUUUCCUUUUCACGCAGCUGAAGACAUUGGUUGACAGCUUCAGAUUAAGAAGCUUCUCCUCCUAUAAGCCUUGUGUCUGAAGUGUAAACGUGCAAGGAGAUGCUAAUCUCAUUUUUGGGGGUUUUGAAAUAUUGGAGUCUUUCCAUAUUUUGGUUAUCUUCUCCAUAACGAUUAUUGGCUAGAUCAUAUCUACGCUUUAUCUCCUGGAAUAUUCCUGUGUUUGUGAUCAAUGAUCCCAGAUAUAAACGAGUUUAUCAAACGGGUCAAUUUUGGUUGUAUGUGAUGUGUAUGAUUAUUGUAUUGUCAAUCCACUAUUACGAGUUUUGUCGUUAAUAUAUUUAACUCCAGACCAAACCUUUUACUCUCACUUUCAACCAGCCGUAUGGGACUAAUCAGGUCUUCUCCUACCUUUUCCCAUUCUUCAAGCUCUUUCUCUUGUCGUUUCCCCAUUACUGCGGAUCGUGAUUUCUUCCAAUAUUCCUGACAAUGUUUCUCCAUAGAUCUCUGUCUUCAGCUGCUCUAAGAGCUUCGAAGAAUGAGUUUCCAGCUGAAUUCUUUAUUUGGUCGAAUCAUCUAGUUGGUGAUCGUCCUCUUGAUCUUCUCCCCGGAACGUUUCCAGAAACAAUUAAUCUCUCCAAACUGUCGUCACCUCUGCGAACCACGUGACCAAAGAAUUGCAGUAUUCGUUGCAGACAUAUUAUGGACAGCCUUUUUUUAAUCUUGAGUUGGUUUAGAAUGGAAACGUUUGUCCUAUGAGCUGUAAAAGGUAUGCGCAGCAUUCUUCUCCAGCACCACGUCUCAAAGGCAUCAAUUUUUUGGCGCUCGCAUGCGCGAAGAGUCCAAGUCUUUGCUCCGUAUAGAAAUAUUGAGAAUACAAGGGCAUUCACUAGUCUCAUCUUGAUAUUUUGAGAGAUAGAUCUGUCUUUCCAAAAUUUACUUAGGCAUUUUUAUAGGCUCAUCGCAUUUUUUGCCAUACCAAUACGUCUCCGAACUUCUGCUUCACAGUUAUCAUCUUUUGUUAUACUAGACCCGAGAUAGACAAAGGUGUUUUGUCAACUUCAUUUGUCAUUCUUCAAGCGCUCUUCUUAUAAUAUGUUCUAGGUAUAUAUUAAAUAGUUAUGGAGAUAGUAUACAUUCUUGUCUGACACCAUAAUCUGGGUGAAUUUCAUUUGACAAUGUGAACAGCACAUUUACUGAUUCCGGGAAAUUUUAUUAACCUAUCUUUUAUUAUUAUAUACCAUUUACAUAAAUGAUGCCAUUUGACUUUGUCGAACGCCUUGCGAUAAUCUAUGAAGCAGAUGUAUAACAGGAUAUUGAACUCCUGCCUUAUCCCAUUGCCAGCUUCAAUUGGGCCAAUUCGUUAUUCUUCUACUUUUAAUUUUAUUGUGUUUUUCUGGUAGAUAUUUUCGAUCGUUUUGAUGAUUCCUAGGGUAAGAACAGAACAAGUAGGUCGAGGUGGAGGUGUAAGUCGCGGCGGAUGCUACUAGUUAAGUCGCGGUCGAUGUCGACAGCACAUAGCAAGGAGGUCACCUGCGCUGUCAGUCGAGCUAGAACCACUAUCAAGUGAUGUACUUUAAUAAAAUUUGAAUGACAAAAAGACUGUGCUUUUGCGAUGUUGUGUCAGUCAAGUGAUGAUGGUGAUGAAAUGUCAGCUGUAAAUAAUCAGAUCCUACUUCAUAUUUCAAAAAGUUAUUGUAUUUAAGUGCUUUAGAAAUUCAAAAAUAAACUGAAUACAAAAAAGGGAUUAUAUACAAAGUAUCAACUCAGAUAGCGCAGGUAAUGACAACUUGGCUUCGAACGGACCAAUCACAGGGAAGCAUCCUUGUAGGCCGCGCAGUAGGCAUCCAUGUAAAACAAACUCAUUUUAUUUUCAAAAGCAUCGAUGUAAACCUCCUGGAUGGCAUCGCGCUAAACCUCCACCGCGACUUACCUGCUCUGUUCUCUUCCAUUCACUACAAUGUGUUUGUUUUACAUGAAUAUCGACAUCGACCGCGACCUCCACCUCCACCUCCCAAUAAAUGGGUAAUGUCCUUUAAUUUGACCCUGUCAAAAGCUUUCUUAAGAUCCACGAAAUAUAAAUAUGUCGAUUUGUUGUAUUCUAACGAUUUCUCUUACACUUGCUACAUUAAUCAUAUAGCGUCCGUGCAUGAUCUUCGUCGUUUAAAGUCAAGUCGGUAGCGACUUGAAACCUUGUGCUAGUGUUAAGUCAAAAGCUUAAAAACAAUAUAAUAUCUUCACCUGCAGUACAUUCCAUUUACUUUAUAUUAACCCACUGUUGGUUUUUAUUUAUGUUCUCCGUAUUUGGGCCAUCAACUAUCUACGUUCACCAUCAUUUUCGUAAAAAAGUCAUCAUGUUGAAGAAACGCAAUUUGUUUUUCUAAAUUUUUGUUAGCCAUAUCCUGUAAUAAUUAACUUUAUUAUUCAGUCAAUAGAUAGAGAAAAAGAAAUAUGUUCCAUUGUAAAUAUUUCGAAACUGUUAUCAAAUAUGUACAUAUAAUCAAAUACGUUUUAAGAUAUUUUAAAGUUAAUCAUUUUAAUUUAUUGUUUAAAACGUUUAUGUAAUAAUAGCAAUAGCUUUUAUAGGAAUUGUUUUUAGUAAUCUUUAAUAUAGUUUAUAGGAAUUCACUUUGUACAAAUAAUGGCAAUAUAUGUAAUCUUCUCUUUCCCCACUUUAUAGGAAAUAAAGCAAUAGAAAAUUAUAUGCGCAUAUCAAAUAAAAACCAGCAUUAAGGAAACAUUGUCAUCUAACGGCAUUUAUGAGCUGAAAUAAUUUUCUUGAGGUUCUAAUGGGUAGCUCUGUUAUAGGUCUGGAUCCCGCGUACCAAAAAAAGUUGAUUAAUAGCAAGCUUAAAAUUUGUUAGUAGCUUAACAGUGUCUAGUCGGACAAACUAUGAUGUAUGGGAACACUGGAACAGAGAAAGUUGUAAUUGUGGAACGUGUCAUCCUGACAAGUUUAUGAUUGUUUAAACUAGCAGGUUGUUUUUAAGUUUAAUCAAUAGCAAACUUUAUAUACUUAAUAUAUGAAAAAAAUUUUGUCAGACAAAUAUAUUGGGCGUUUUAAUAAUUCCGACACGUAGAACAUUUUAAAUGACAAGAAUUAUGUUGGUGAUAAAUAGCAGUCUGAUUUUUGCAUGAGAGUUUAAGUUUAAUGAAAGAAUAACAAAUCAAUUGGAAGUUCUGUCCAACAAAAUACAUGGGACGUUUUCAUAGUCUGACCUUCGAAACCUGUAAUCUGUUCCACAAUUAAAACUUUCCCUGUUCCAGUGUUCCCCUUCAUCAUCCCCCUUCUUGAAUUAUUGAUGGCCACAUUUAUAUCACAAAUUAUAUUAAAAUUAUUAUAUUUUUAUUUUUUCUUGAUUAAUGUUAGAGUUUUUAGUAUUUUUAUAAAUUUUCAUAUAGCUGUAUACAUUUAUACAUUUGUUAAAUAUUUUUUGUGUUUGUUUAUAUUUGUAAAUUAGUAUAUUAUAUUUUUAAGUCUCACGCACAAGGAGUGCUACUUUUGUAUGUAUAUUAGUAAUAUAUAUACAGGGUAGCUCAACUUCAGUGAGUUAUUUAUGUUUAUUUAGGUAGUACUCAUUAUGCUUUUUAUUUUUUUUUUGUAAAUAUUUAUUGUUAUUCCUAAAUAAACAUUAUUAUUAUUAUUAUUAUCAAAGUUUGUCCGACUAGACACCGUUAAGUUAUUAACAAAUUUCUAGCUUGCUAUUAAUCAACUUUUUUUGGUACGCGGGAUCAAGGCCUAUUAGACAUCAGACUCAGUAAAACACAAGUUUAUUUUAAAUAAAAAUGUAUUCUGAUUAAAUAAUUAACUAAAAUAAAAUUAUCUUUUCUGUAAAAUAAGAAAAAGUAAAAUUCAAUCCUGGUGAAGGUGUCGACGACACUACGAUCGACUGUUAAUACCUGCGAACAAUAAAAAAUAUGGUUAAUUCAAACGAAAAUAUGGUUGAUUCAAACGGAAAUACGAUGUGUUAGUCAGUACAGAGACUCACAUCAAGAACAAGAAAGAUCAGUGCUUGUUUUGGAUUAGAGGUGGCCGGGUCGAUCAAUACUCGAUCCGGUAUGGAACGGGAAGGCGAUUAAUCAAUACCUAGUGGCGUGGCAGGACGGUUUUGCCUUAAAUCAAUACUUUAAGAGCCGUUUUUGGAGCCGCUACUAAAUCAAUACUUUAGCAGAAGCGAUUGGUCUCUUCUGCCUAUCGUUACAAGGUACUAGAUAUGCGUUAACACAGAUUAUUCAUACGCAAAAUUGUAUUCGUUAAAUAGAAAUUUUUAUAUAUUGAACAUGUUUCCUGUAACAUUUUUUGUAUUUCUUAUAUAAAAAAUCUAAAUCCGGUAGGUUAAAAGUGUGUACCAAGUCUGCAGUCAAUAUUUGGCGUACAAAUUCUUUGGCAGUUAGUGUCAACACUCAUCACAAUGAUCUCAAUGAAUGUUACUGUCAGGUAAAUCAGUAUUUAUAUGCAAAAAUCAGUAGAUGUGAUCCACUACGACCACCACAAGCUAAAAAAUUAAUACACGUCACGUAAGAUAUAGAGAGAGACAGUGAUAUCUUAUGAACAUAAUGUCAAUAAUAUAUCAAAAUCAUAGGGAACAGGAUACCGAAAUGCUCUGCACUCAACAUAAUAUUAACAGCAACAAGUAAAGAUAUUUGACUCAUAUUCUAAUAUAUGUUACGGAUGUUAAACAAUAAAUAGUAGCAGAAAUAUGUAUACAACCGUGCUACCCCAAAGACAACACAAAUUUUAUAGUAAUAAUGUAGAAGCAUAUUAUUUGAUGUUUUACUCGAUUUUUCUAUGUUGUCACAUCUAUUCAUCCAGCAUGGGUUUUAUUUCAUUUCAGCUAUGAUUAAAAACUGUGUAGUUUCAUUCUCCACUUUUACCGAUGCUAUUUGAUUUAAGUAGAGGUUCUUAAUGAAUCUUAAGUCAUUAUCUAUCAUUCUAACUUGUAGCAGAUUCAUGAGCUCUAUAUUUGGCACAGUCGAAUGUUUUCUGGUAAUCAGUGAAGCAUAGGAAAACGCUAGUCUCUGUAUAUUUAGAAGCAAUACAGUCUACAGUCAAACUGAAGAAUGCUUCACGUGUUUCGAAGCCUUGACUGGCUCCAAGCUGAGUAGGAUCUAUGUCUACUUCACAUCUAUUACAAAUUCUUGUAUGUACUAUCCUCAAGAAUGGUUUAGGAUCUUACUUAGUGAACUGAUCAUUCGGAACUAGUCAUGAUUGUUUGCAUUAGAUUCCUUAGUGCAUCCAUAUCCUCGUCAUUUAGCAGUUCCAUUACUUCUUUGUAUAUUUCAUCUGAGCCUUACAGCCUUUCCGUCCUUACUUUGUUUUAUUUCCUUUACUGAUUUAAGUAAGCACUUAUUUUUGGAGAAGGUUCGCCUUUAUCUUCGCCUGCAAGAUUUCGCUAGUUAUUCUCUCUCUACAUAGAGUUGUUAGAUAAAGUUUUACAGUGAUGGAGAAGUGUCUUGGGAUUUAAAAGAGGACUCUCCUAAUUUUGGAGGCAUAUUGCCUACAAUCUCAAAGCCUCCAUAAAUGCUUGCAUUUAUUACAAGAGUAUGGAUUAUACCUCGUGCAUAGCAAUUCCAACGCACUUACCUUAGGUCCGUUAGCUAGCAUUCGCUAUCAGUUUACCCAGAAUGGCCAAUGGCGUUGCAGCUUUUCUAAGGUUCUGAGGUGCCUCUGUAAAUUCAACCUAAUUUUAAUGCACACUCCUAUUCGUCUCAACUCACAUUUGCCAUGGUCGCUGUGAUCUAAUAUGACAAACCUAGGAUAGGUUUUCUAAGUAGACAGAAUAGGAGAAAUACGAACAAACCCGAGGAAACAUUUAUCAACUGAGACUAAUACGUCCUACUCGUACAAAAGAAUUGAACAGAAACAUCUAGAAUUCACUGAAAGAUUAAAAUAAUGAAGAGUAUCCAAAGAAAAACACUAGCAAAUAAGUGAUGUUUGUCAUCAAAUUAUCGAAUGAGUUUGCGAUGUCAAAUAUAGAGCAGUACCCACUAUAAGAACACAGUUAUAGGUAGAGACUAUGGUUGGAUUGAUAAUAUAAAAACAUAAACACUGCAAAGAUAAUCUGGAAUGCUUAAAUGAUUCCAGAUAUAAUUAUAAACCAUGUAGCUAUCAGAACCACAAAUCACAAGAUAAAAGAGAUCUAAUUUUUCAAUCUAAAAGGCAGCACGGAAGAAAUAAAUAGUAGUUAAGAUUGCUACUAUAGAAAGUUGCAGUAAGUCAAACCUUACUAAAAGUCUUUGGUUAAAAUAAGCUAGUUUCUUAGAUACAGUACAAGUAUUUUGUUGAUAAUAUAUUAUGAUCUUGAUUUUCCCCAUCUAUCUAUUCCCUAUUUAUCUAUUCCCCCUAUAUCUAUUCCUUUCUUAUGUUUAUCUCACGCCGGGUAGAUGUAAUGAUGUUAGCGUAUCAUCUUUUCAUUGGUUGUAUAAAAUAGAAAAAAAGGGAAAAAUUUUUUUAAAAAAUAUAUAAAUUAAUACGUUCUUCAAAUGGUGAAUCCAACUCUCAUAACGAAAUGUACAACUGCGAAUCUACACAAUUUUUGAUAAUUUUUCAUAUUUUUUUUCGUAUGUUUCUUUCCCUAAUGUUCAGAUAUACAAGUGAUGUAAAACAAUGUAUAUAAUGCUAAACGGAAUUACUAUUAAUAUAAAAAGAAUUGAAAUUUAAAUGCAUCCUUUAGUCUACCUACCUAAUAACACAUUUUCUUUUAGAUUUACAUCUUGAUAGAUUAAUGGGAUAGAGAAGAACAACUUUCAUGAUUAAUGUGUACUUAAAUCUAAUUCUGUUCUAAAAAGCAGCACAAAAUGUUGGACUAGGAAAAUUAUCUGUUGUGGUUAUAAAAUAUUCUUUCAUCUAAUAAAAUAGAGAAAUAAAUUCUUGGUUCAAGUUUUUUAAUGUAGGUGCUACAUUAAAGAAAACGUUGAUCAAAUCCUAUCUGUAUUAUACAAAUAUUAGAGUUGAAGAUGCUAGUUCCAUAGAACCAAAAUUUAUUUCAUUUGUUGAAAAGUUAAUGAUUAUAUUAUCAACUAGGUAAUAUUUCAAAAUGUACACAGUAUGAAUAAAUGAUUGCUUUUAACACAAA
rnacentral:lncRNA from 1 species